rnacentral:lncRNA from 1 species
AUUUUGGGGUUCAGGGUCACUUUUGGGGUCCCAGGGUUAUUUUGGGGGUCUCAGGAUCAUUUUGGGGCAGUUCAGGGUUAUUUUGGGGUGGCUCAGGGUCAGUUUUGGGGUCCCAGGGUUAUUUUGGGGUGGCUCAGGGUCAGUUUUGGGGUGCUCAGGAUUAUUUUGGGGUGGCUCAGGAUCAUUUUGGGGUCCCAGGGUUAUUUUGGGGUGCUCAGGGAUGAUUUUGGGGUGAAUUUGCGUUGAUUUGGGGUCGGCCCGAGGCCGCAGCCGCGGCUGAGAGAGACCUGGGGGGGGAGGGGCUUUUGGGGUCAUUUUGGGUCAUUUUGGGUCAUUUUGGGUCCUUUUGGGUUACUUUGGGUCAUUUUGGGUCAUUUUGGGUCCUUUUGAGCCCUUUUGGGUCCUUUUAGGUCCUUUUGGGUCAUUUUGGGCCCUUUUAGGUCAUUUUGGGUCACUUUGGUUCCUUUUGGGACCUUUUGGGUCAUUUUGGGGCCACUUUGGGUCACUUUGGGGCCACUUUGGGCCCUUUUUGGUCCCUUUUGGGGCCAUUUAGGGUCAUUUGGGGUCCUUUGGGACAUUUUGGGGCCAUUUUCGGGGUAUUUGAGGGAUAUUUCAGGGACAUUUUUGGGAUAUUUGGGGCCAUUUUGGGGCCAUUUUUGGGGACAUUUCAGGGACAUUUGGGGACAUUUUUGGGGUUACUUCAGGGAUAUUUUGGGGCAGUUUUGGGACAUUUCAGGGGCAUUUUCGGGAGGUUUCAGGGCAUUUUUUGGGGAUAUUUGGGACCAUUUUUGGGGCCAUUUCGGGGCAGGUUUUGGGCCAUUUUUGGGCAGUUUUGGGGACAUUUCAGGGUCACUUGGGGCGAUUUUUGGGGACAUUUCAGGGUCACUCGGGGUCGGUUUUUGGGGCAGUUCCUGGGAUAUUUCAGGGACAUUUCAGGUCGGUUUUUGGGGACAUUCCAGGGACAUUUCAGGGCCGUUUUUGGGGACAUUUCAGGGAUAUUUCAGGUCGGUUUUUGGGGACAUUUCAGGUCCAUUUCAGGGCAGUUUUUGGGGACAUUUCAGGGACAUUUCAGGGCCGUUUUUGGGGACAUUUCAGGGCAGUUUUUGGGACAUUCCAGGGACAUUUCAGGGCCGUUUUUGGGGACAUUUCAGGUCCAUUCCAGGGAUAUUUCAGGUUGGUUUUUGGGGACAUUUCAGGUCCAUUUCAGGGCCAUUUUUGGGGACAUUUCAGGUCGGUUUUUGGGGACAUUCCAGGUCCAUUCCAGGGACAUUUCAGG